ACACAUCUCUGUCAGACCUGGAGUAGUUAAUGUCUGCUGCUAAGGUUUCCACUAUAGAUGCAAAAUAAAGAAAGUCCUUGCACCUUCUGUCUGGUUAUGGCAGCCAAGAUUGAAUUGGGGGGUAUGAAA
rnacentral:snoRNA from 1 species